CCUACGGGUGGCAGCAGUAAGGAAUAUUGCUCCAUGGGCGCAACCCUGAACCCGCCACGUCGCGUGGAGGAUGAAGGUUUUAGGAUUGUUAAACCUUUUUUGUCGAGGAGCUAAUGACGGUAUCUAACGAUUACGCACCGUCUAACUACGUGCCAGCAGCCGUGGUACUACGGCGGGAGCAAGCGUUACUCGGAAUCACUGGGCGUAAAGGGCGCGUAGUAGGGAUAGCAAGUCAGCUGUGAAAUCCUAUGGCUUAACCAUAGAAGUGCAUUUGAAACUGUUAUUCUAGAGUGUGGGCGAGGUAUGUGGAAUGCGUGGUGUAGGGGUAAAAUGCGUAGAGAUCAAGAAGAAUACUCAUUGCGAAGGCGACCUGCUAGAACAUAACUGACGCUGAUGCGCGAAAGCGUGGGGAGCAAACAGGAUUAGAUACCCUAGUAGUC
rnacentral:rRNA from 1 species